CCUACGGGUGGCAGCAGUAGGGAAUCUUGGGCAAUGGACGAAACUCUGACCCAGCAACGCCGCGUGAGUGAUGAAGGUCUUCGGAUCGUAACAUUCUUUUCUAAGAGAAGAAGAAGUGGUCGAGACAUUAUUAGUAAGCCUCGGCUAACUACGUGCCAGCAGCCGCCGUAAUACGUAGAAGGCGAGCGUUAUCCGGAUUGACUGGGAGUAAAGUGUGCGUAGGUGGUUUGGCAAGUUAGUAGUGUAACUCCACGGCUCAACCUUGGAACUACUAUUAAAACUGUUGGACUUGAGUGCAGGAGGGGCAAGUGGAAUGCCUAGUGUAGCGGUGGAAUGCGUAGAUAUUAGGAGGAACACCAGUGGCGAAGGCGAGUUGCUAGACUGUAACUGACACUGAGGCACGAAAGCGUGGGGAGCAAACAGGAUUAGAUACCCCUGUAGUC
rnacentral:rRNA from 1 species